UAGCAUGUUUAUGUGAUACUCUAGUGUGA
rnacentral:piRNA from 1 species